rnacentral:rRNA from 1 species
UACGUAGGGUGCAAGCGUUGUCCGGAACUAUUGGGCGUAAAGAGCUUGUAGGCGGUUUGUCGCGUCUGCUGUGAAAUUUCGGGGCUCAACCCCGAACUUGCAGUGGGUACGGGCAGACUAGAGUGUGGUAGGGGAGACUGGAAUUCCUGGUGUAGCGGUGAAAUGCGCAGAUAUCAGGAGGAACACCGAUGGCGAAGGCAGGUCUCUGGGCCAUAACUGACGCUGAGAAGCGAAAGCAUGGGGAGCGAACAGGA